AACGAACGCUGGCGGCAGGCUUAACACAUGCAAGUCGAACGCCCCGCAAGGGGAGUGGCAGACGGGUGAGUAACACGUGGGAACGUGCCCUAAGGUACGGAACAACUCCGGGAAACUGGAGCUAAUACCGUAUGUGCCCGAGAGGGGAAAGAUUUAUCGCCUUGGGAUCGGCCCGCGUCUGAUUAGCUAGUUGGUAGGGUAAUGGCCUACCAAGGCUACGAUCAGUAGCUGGUCUGAGAGGANGGCCAGCCACACUGGGACUGAGACACGGCCCAGACUCCUACGGGAGGCAGCAGUGGGGAAUAUUGGACAAUGGGCGAAAGCCUGAUCCAGCCAUGCCGCGUGAGUGAUGAAGGCCUUAGGGUUGUAAAGCUCUUUUGUGCGGGAAGAUAAUGACGGUACCGCAAGAAUAAGCCCCGGCUAACUUCGUGCCAGCCGCCGCAGUAAC
rnacentral:rRNA from 1 species